rnacentral:lncRNA from 1 species
GACAAAUGAUAAUGAUUAUGAUAAGAAUGAAAGUGAACAAAUAAUCUACUUUCUUAUAAUAAAAAGAUAAUCCACUUACACAUAUUAAUAAACCCAUCUAAAACCUAGAUUAUAAAUUAUCUUCUUGCUCACUUUUAGACACAAAUUAAUUAUAUUAUGUUGUUUUUGGGUAAUGAAUAAGCAGCUAAUUAUUUAGUUAGAAUGACUUUUUUCUAAUUGUCAUCUAUUUAUAUUGUUGGGUAAUGAAUAAGUAGCUAUUUAUACAAAUCAUCUAUUUAUCUUGUUUCAUGAAAAAAUAAUAAUUGUC